rnacentral:lncRNA from 10 species
GAUGUCAGCACUGCUUCCGGUCGGUGGCGCUUCUCUCUGGCCCGAGCCAGCAUGAUCCGCUGGGCCCCCAGCGCAUCUCCUGGAAGAGCCCACUCACCCUGGACGAGCUCUUCGGUAGCCUCAGACCGUCCUUGAAGAGGAUGACUGAGACAUUAUGGGCCACGCGCUGUGUGUCUGCUCUCGGGGAACUGUCAUCAUUGACAAUAAGCGCUACCUCUUCAUCCAGAAACUGGGGGAGGGGUGAGUGUUUGGAAGUCAGUUAACUAGUCCUCAAGUUUAUGAUCAUUGAAGGACAGCGGUGUGCAUAUGCUUGGGGCACAAGGGUUUUAUCCCUAUCCCUGUCCUCUCUCACCUGACAGAACCUAGCUACACAGUAUCAAGAAGGUGGAUUCUGGAGCCAGGCCUGCUAAAUCCACCUCGUGUGACCUUGAUAAACCAUGUUUUUUUCAUCAGCUUAAUGGAGAUGAUUAUUAUCCCUCACUGAUGGAGUUGUGAGGAUUAAAUGAGAUAAUGUGUAUAAAAUGUCUCACCCAAUGCGGGGUUGACAAGUACUUGAUAAGUGUUGGCUAUUAUUUAUUU